rnacentral:rRNA from 1 species
GACGAACGCUGGCGGCGCGCCUAACACAUGCAAGUCGAACGAGGUCUUUUAGGAAGCUUGCUUCUUGGCUGACCUAGUGGCGGACGGGUGAGUAACACGUGAGCAACCUGCCGGGGAGUGGGGGAUAACGUCUGGAAACGGACGCUAAUACCGCAUAACAUAUCGGGAUGGCAUCAUCCUGGUAUCAAAGGAGAAAUCCGCUCUUUGAUGGGCUCGCGGCCGAUUAGGUAGUUGGUGGGGUAAAGGCCCACCAAGCCGACGAUCGGUAGCCGGACUGAGAGGUUGAUCGGCCACAUUGGGACUGAGACACGGCCCAGACUCCUACGGGAGGCAGCAGUGGGGAAUAUUGCACAAUGGGGGAAACCCUGAUGCAGCGACGCCGCGUGAGUGAAGACGGCCUUCGGGUUGUAAAGCUCUGUUGACGGGGACGAUAAUGACGGUAGACCGGGAGGAAGCUACGGCUAAUUACGUGCCAGCCGCCGCUGUAAAAC